GAAUCAAAGAAGGUAAUAAUCCUGUAGUCGAAAAUGUUGUCUCUCUUGAGUGGAUCCUGAGUACGACGGAACACGUGAAAUUCCGUCGGAAUCUGGGAGGACCAUCUCCUAAGGCUAAAUACUCUCUAGUGACCGAUAGUGAACCAGUACCGUGAGGGAAAGGUGAAAAGCACCCCGGAAGGGGAGUGAAAUAGAACCUGAAACCGUGUGCUUACAAGUAGUCAGAGCCCGUUAAUGGGUGAUGGCGUGCCUUUUGUAGAAUGAACCGGCGAGUUACGAUUUGAUGCAAGGUUAAGCAGUAAAUGUGGAGCCGUAGCGAAAGCGAGUCUGAAUAGGGCGUUUAGUAUUUGGUCGUAGACCCGAAACCAGGUGAUCUACCCUUGGUCAGGUUGAAGUUCAGGUAACACUGAAUGGAGGACCGAACCGACUUACGUUGAAAAGUGAGCGGAUGAACUGAGGGUAGCGGAGAAAUUCCAAUCGAACCUGGAGAUAGCUGGUUCUCUCCGAAAUAGCUUUAGGGCUAGCCUCAAGUGAUGAUUAUUGGAGGUAGAGCACUGUUUGGACGAGGGGCCCCUCUCGGGUUACCGAAUUCAGACAAACUCCGAAUGCCAAUUAAUUUAACUUGGGAGUCAGAACAUGGGUGAUAAGGUCCGUGUUCGAAAGGGAAACAGCCCAGACCACCAGCUAAGGUCCCAAAAUAUAUGUUAAGUGGAAAAGGAUGUGGCGUUGCCCAGACAACUAGGAUGUUGGCUUAGAAGCAGCCAUCAUUUAAAGAGUGCGUAAUAGCUCACUAGUCGAGUGACACUGCGCCGAAAAUGUACCGGGGCUAAACAUAUUACCGAAGCUGUGGAUUGUCCUUUGGACAAUGGUAGGAGAGCGUUCUAAGGGCGUUGAAGCAUGAUCGUAAGGACAUGUGGAGCGCUUAGAAGUGAGAAUGCCGGUGUGAGUAGCGAAAGACGGGUGAGAAUCCCGUCCACCGAUUGACUAAGGUUUCCAGAGGAAGGCUCGUCCGCUCUGGGUUAGUCGGGUCCUAAGCUGAGGCCGACAGGCGUAGGCGAUGGAUAACAGGUUGAUAUUCCUGUACCACCUAUAAUCGUUUUAAUCGAUGGGGGGACGCAGUAGGAUAGGCGAAGCGUGCGAUUGGAUUGCACGUCUAAGCAGUAAGGCUGAGUAUUAGGCAAAUCCGGUACUCGUUAAGGCUGAGCUGUGAUGGGGAGAAGACAUUGUGUCUUCGAGUCGUUGAUUUCACACUGCCGAGAAAAGCCUCUAGAUAGAAAAUAGGUGCCCGUACCGCAAACCGACACAGGUAGUCAAGAUGAGAAUUCUAAGGUGAGCGAGCGAACUCUCGUUAAGGAACUCGGCAAAAUGACCCCGUAACUUCGGGAGAAGGGGUGCUCUUUAGGGUUAACGCCCAGAAGAGCCGCAGUGAAUAGGCCCAAGCGACUGUUUAUCAAAAACACAGGUCUCUGCUAAACCGUAAGGUGAUGUAUAGGGGCUGACGCCUGCCCGGUGCUGGAAGGUUAAGAGGAGUGGUUAGCUUCUGCGAAGCUACGAAUCGAAGCCCCAGUAAACGGCGGCCGUAACUAUAACGGUCCUAAGGUAGCGAAAUUCCUUGUCGGGUAAGUUCCGACCCGCACGAAAGGCGUAACGAUUUGGGCACUGUCUCAACGAGAGACUCGGUGAAAUCAUAGUACCUGUGAAGAUGCAGGUUACCCGCGACAGGACGGAAAGACCCCGUGGAGCUUUACUGUAGCCUGAUAUUGAAAUUCGGCACAGCUUGUACAGGAUAGGUAGGAGCCUUUGAAACGUGAGCGCUAGCUUACGUGGAGGCGCUGGUGGGAUACUACCCUAGCUGUGUUGGCUUUCUAACCCGCACCACUUAUCGUGGUGGGAGACAGUGUCAGGCGGGCAGUUUGACUGGGGCGGUCGCCUCCUAAAAGGUAACGGAGGCGCUCAAAGGUUCCCUCAGAAUGGUUGGAAAUCAUUCAUAGAGUGUAAAGGCAUAAGGGAGCUUGACUGCGAGACCUACAAGUCGAGCAGGGUCGAAAGACGGACUUAGUGAUCCGGUGGUUCCGCAUGGAAGGGCCAUCGCUCAACGGAUAAAAGCUACCCCGGGGAUAACAGGCUUAUCUCCCCCAAGAGUUCACAUCGACGGGGAGGUUUGGCACCUCGAUGUCGGCUCAUCGCAUCCUGGGGCUGUAGUCGGUCCCAAGGGUUGGGCUGUUCGCCCAUUAAAGCGGUACGCGAGCUGGGUUCAGAACGUCGUGAGACAGUUCGGUCCCUAUCCGUCGUGGGCGUAGGAAAUUUGAGAGGAGCUGUCCUUAGUACGAGAGGACCGGGAUGGACAUACCUCUGGUGUACCAGUUGUCGUGCCAACGGCAUAGCUGGGUAGCUAUGUGUGGACGGGAUAAGUGCUGAAAG
rnacentral:rRNA from 1 species